rnacentral:tRNA from 2 species
UUGCAGAUAGCUCAGCUGGUAGAGCGAUUGACUUUUAAUCAAUUGGCCGCAGGUUCAAUUCCUGCUCCGCAAC